rnacentral:rRNA from 1 species
UACGAAGGGGGCUAGCGUCGUUCGGAAUUACUGGGCGUAAAGGGCGCGUAGGCGGUGUGUCAAGUCAGGCGUGAAAGCCCCGGGCUCAACCUGGGAACCGCGCUUGAGACUGGCACGCUAGAGUUCGGGAGAGGAUGGUGGAAUUCCCAGUGUAGAGGUGAAAUUCGUAGAUAUUGGGAAGAACACCGGUGGCGAAGGCGGCGAGCUGGUCCAUCACUGACGCUGAGGCGCGACAGCGUGGGGAGCAAACAGG